CUUCAGUUUGUCCAAUGUUACCAAUUUGUCGGUAAAAAAGCAACGUCAAAAAUAGAUAAAAACGAAGUGUGACUUUUCUUUUAAGCGCGGUUGUCAGCGGGAGAAUCUCAAUAAAUUGUUUACGGACAUAAUGAGACAGACGCAAAUUCUCCAGUACGCUUUGAGACUCACUUAUUCGCAGCCUGCGAAUCGUG
rnacentral:lncRNA from 1 species